rfam:TPA: Bos taurus chromosome 2, whole genome shotgun sequence.
UCCCUGGUGGCUCAGAGGUUAAAGCGUCUGCCUCCAAUGCGGUAGACCCGGGUUCGAUCCCUGGGUAGGGAA